UACGGGGGGGGCAAGCGUUGUUCGGAAUUACUGGGCGUAAAGGGUUUGUAGGUGGCUUGCUAAGUCAGACGUGAAAUCCCUCAGCUUAACUGGGGAACUGCGUCUGAGACUGGCGAGCUUGAGUGCAGGAGAGGAACGCGGAAUUCCAGGUGUAGCGGUGAAAUGCGUAGAUAUCUGGAGGAAUACCGGUGGCGAAGGCGGCAUCCUGGACCAUUACUGACGCUGAGGCGCGAAAGCUAGGGGAGCAAACGGG
rnacentral:rRNA from 1 species